AGAGUUUGAUCCUGGCUCAGGACGAACGCUAGCGGCGUGCCUAAGGUAUGCAAGUCGAACGGGAGGGGCAACCCUCCAGUGGCGAACGGUCGCGUAACACGUAGACAACCUGCCUCCAAGUGGGGGAUAACAGGGGGAAACCUCUGCUAAUACCGCAUGUGGCCCUCUUUCGCCUGGAAGGGAAGCUAAAGGUUUACUGCUUGGAGAUGGGUCUGCGGCCUAUCAGGUAGUUGGUGGGGUAACGGCCUACCAAGCCGACGACGGGUAGCGGGUCUGAGAGGAUGAUCCGCCGGACGGGGACUGAGACACGGCCCCGACUCCUUCGGGAGGCAGCAAUGGGGAAUAUUGCGCAAUGGGGGAAACCCUGACGCAGCGACGCCGCGUGGGUGAGGAAGUCCUUCGGGAUGUAAAGCCCUUUUCUCGGGGACGAAACGGACGGUACCCGAGGAAGAAGCCCCGGCUAACUACGUGCCAGCAGCCGCGGUAAUACGUAGGGGGCAAGCGUUGUCCGGAUUUACUGGGCGUAAAGCGCGCGUAGGCGGAAGCUUAAGCAUGCCCUGAAAGCCCCCGGCUCAACCGGGGAGGGCGGGUGUGAACUGGGCUUCUUGAGGGGGAGAGAGGAGUGUGGAAUCCCUGGUGUAGCGGUGAAAUGCGUAGAGAUCAGGAGGAACACCCGUGGCGAAGGCGGCACUCUGGCUCGGCCCUGACGCUGAGGCGCGAAAGCGUGGGGAGCGAACGGGAUUAGAUACCCCCGUAGUCC
rnacentral:rRNA from 1 species